CUAAUACAUGCAAGUCGAACGCACUCUCGUUUAGAUUGAAGGAGCUUGCUCCUGAUUGAUAAACAUUUGAGUGAGUGGCGGACGGGUGAGUAACACGUGGGUAACCUGCCCUAAAGUGGGGGAUAACAUUUGGAAACAGAUGCUAAUACCGCAUAAAACCUAACACCGCAUGGUGUAGGGUUGAAAGAUGGUUUCGGCUAUCACUUUAGGAUGGACCCGCGGUGCAUUAGUUAGUUGGUGAGGUAAAGGCUCACCAAGACCGUGAUGCAUAGCCGACCUGAGAGGGUAAUCGGCCACACUGGGACUGAGACACGGCCCAGACUCCUACGGGAGGCAGCAGUAGGGAAUCUUCCACAAUGGACGAAAGUCUGAUGGAGCAACGCCGCGUGAGUGAAGAAGGUUUUCGGAUCGUAAAACUCUGUUGUUGGAGAAGAAUGUAUCUGAUAGUAACUGAUCAGGUAGUGACGGUAUCCAACCAGAAAGCCACGGCUAACUACGUGCCAGCAGCCGCGGUAAUACGUAGGUGGCAAGCGUUGUCCGGAUUUAUUGGGCGUAAAGCGAGCGCAGGCGGUUUCUUAAGUCUGAUGUGAAAGCCUUCGGCUCAACCGAAGAAGUGCAUCGGAAACUGGGAAACUUGAGUGCAGAAGAGGACAGUGGAACUCCAUGUGUAGCGGUGAAAUGCGUAGAUAUAUGGAAGAACACCAGUGGCGAAGGCGGCUGUCUGGUCUGUAACUGACGCUGAGGCUCGAAAGCAUGGGUAGCAAACAGGAUUAGAUACCCUGGUAGUCCAUGCCGUAAACGAUGAGUGCUAGGUGUUGGAGGGUUUCCGCCCUUCAGUGCCGCAGCUAACGCAUUAAGCACUCCGCCUGGGGAGUACGACCGCAAGGUUGAAACUCAAAGGAAUUGACGGGGGCCCGCACAAGCGGUGGAGCAUGUGGUUUAAUUCGAAGCAACGCGAAGAACCUUACCAGGUCUUGACAUCCUUUGACCACUCUAGAGAUAGAGCUUUCCCUUCGGGGACAAAGUGACAGGUGGUGCAUGGUUGUCGUCAGCUCGGGUCGGGAGAUGUUGGGUUAAGUCCCGCAACGAGCGCACCCUUAUUACUAGUUGCCAGCUUUUAGUUGGGCAUUUAGUGAA
rnacentral:rRNA from 1 species